UUGUCUGAUUCAGAACCACUCGGUCUCCUGAUAUUUUAAAAGGGUGGAGUCGGGUGUUCGGUGAACUGUAGAUGCGAAGGAUGCAAGAACGCGUUCGGGCGUAAAGACGGGUCUUCCGGCAUUGGCAGCGAAGGCGAGCAAGAAGAGGAGAA